AUGCAAGUCGAGCGGACUUGAUGGAGUGCUUGCACUCCUGAAGGUUAGCGGCGGACGGGUGAGUAACACGUAGGCAACCUGCCCUCAAGACUGGGAUAACUACCGGAAACGGUAGCUAAUACCGGAUAGUUUAUUUUGCAGCAUUGUGGAAUAAUGAAAGGCGGAGCAAUCUGUCACUUGAGGAUGGGCCUGCGGCGCAUUAGCUAGUUGGUGGGGUAACGGCCCACCAAGGCGACGAUGCGUAGCCGACCUGAGAGGGUGAACGGCCACACUGGGACUGAGACACGGCCCAGACUCCUACGGGAGGCAGCAGUAGGGAAUCUUCCGCAAUGGGCGAAAGCCUGACGGAGCAACGCCGCGUGAGUGAUGAAGGUUUUCGGAUCGUAAAGCUCUGUUGCCAAGGAAGAACGUCUUCUAGAGUAACUGCUAGGAGAGUGACGGUACUUGAGAAGAAAGCCCCGGCUAGCUACGUGCCAGCAGCCGCGGUAAUACGUAGGGGGCAAGCGUUGUCCGGAAUUAUUGGGCGUAAAGCGCGCGCAGGCGGUUCUUUAAGUCUGGUGUUUAAACCCGAGGCUCAACUUCGGGUCGCACUGGAAACUGGGGAACUUGAGUG
rnacentral:rRNA from 1 species